AUGGAGCGGGAGGAGAGAUGCCACUACUCUUCGCACUGCAGCUACCCGGCAAUCGAACCACAUGCAGAUCCAGAGCGAACUGCUCUAUUUGGUCGAAGGAGGCAUGGCGUGCCGGAGGAGGAGGUCAAGCCGGUAGGGAGGACGGGCACCUGCCCACGUGCUGUGGUGCUGGCGAGCCCCUGCCGGCGUCUCUCAUGCCACCGUUGGGGCAGCACGGAAGUGGACAUCGGGACUAGCAGGGGGUUGGCGACACCGCGAGAGCCACAAGUCGCCGGUGAGGUGGGGGUCACCGAUGAAAAAUGGAGGAUGAGGGGAUCCAAGAAGCCAAAGUAUCUUUUGGAACCACCCGAGCUCCCAUCCCCGGAUCAUCUUGAGGAGUUUGUCCUCACACCUCCUCUUGCAACUGAAGCUACUCUCAGGUUCAGCAAGCGUAACGCAUCCAGAAUGCAGGACAAGAUGGAAGAUACGGCGGUGAAGCUGGCCUGCAAAAACGACCCUGAAGGUUUACAGAAAGAAGAGGCGGCGGGAGAACUUCGCGCAGGUGCAGAGAUGAUCAGGAAUGGCACACUGCAGCUGAUGAAACUGUGCGACUCCGUCAAGCAAAUGAUCCAGACAUGA
rnacentral:rRNA from 1 species